rnacentral:misc_RNA from 1 species
AAGGAUCAUUAACACAACUAAUACAUGGACCGACUCAAUCGGUUUAACCACUGAUGGCGAUCCAUGUUAUUAACAUCCAACCGUGACUCUGUUUCUCCCUACGAUCGUAACACAUCGUAGGUUCAUCGUCAUGAUCCAGAUUAUCGACGCAAGUCGGUAAUCACUUGACAGUUUGAAGUUGCUUCAUCUGUCAAGGGGCAUGGCCGCUUUUUAAUCAUUCACCCCUUCCACAUACCUUGAACUGAUAUAAAGUUGAUAGAUGGACUCGUUCAUCUAUUGGCUGACUUGACUUUGAUGUCAAAUCAAACAAAAUACAACUCUUAACAACGGAUAUCUCGGUUGAC